AGCCGAGUAUCUUUUUAUGUUGGCUGCAAAAUGGAUCUUAAUCUGUCGAGUUUUUCUUCUGUUGGCAGGUAUCUUAUGUUAACGGCACAUGUCUUAUAUAUAUAUUUUUAGCGUUUGUCUCGUGAAGUCAGAUUUAAUUUGCUGAUUCAAUUGUUGUUUCGUUGGCCAGAGAUUAUGUUAUUUUUCUAUAGGUUUUGGUAUCGCUUUUUUGUCAUUUUUAUGUUUUAUGCUUUUGCGUCCGUUUACAAAAUCACCAAAGGACAGUGAGCGGGUGAGCGGCGCGAAGCGGAACGAACGAACCUGAACGAACGAACGAACCUGUACGAACGAACGAACCUGUACGAACGAACGAACUUAUACGAACGAACGAACUUAUACGAACGCCAACGAACGAACGUUAAAUCGGCGGUGUCAAGUUCUUGCCGGUGGCUGCAGACCUGAAACAAUCCGUGAGUUUUCUUUGCGUUUAUGUGUUUGUGUGCUAUGUGUUUCGUUUUAUUUGGUUACUACUUCUAUCGUACUUAUAUUUGGUUACGUCUUAUAUCGCUACUGACUGUCUUUUUUAAUUGUCAUACUUAUGGACCUGUUGGUGUUUUGUUUCUUGCAGAAAACCGUUUUUAAAUACAAUGAGUAUUGGAUCCUGAGGCUCCACCGGUAAAGGUUUUGGAUUGGUUUGGUAUCGUCUUACUCCGGAAAUUAAGAAAUCAAGUUGAAUCCAAUGUUCGUCAGUACGAAAACUGCAAGAAGAAUCAACAAGGUGGAUUAAUUCGAUUCUGAUCUGUGUGAGAGGCACAGUAAGUUCUGCAAGACCUUCAAAUCUAUCAUCCCAAAAUCUAAGGACAGUGAGCGGGUGAGCGGCGCGAAGCGGAACGAACGAACCUGAACGAACGAACGAACCUGUACGAACGAACGAACCUGUACGAACGAACGAACUUAUACGAACGAACGAACUUAUACGAACGCCAACGAACGAACGUUAAAUCGGCGGUGUCAAGUUCUUGCCGGUGGCUGCAGACCUGAAACAAUCCGUGAGUUUUCUUUGCGUUUAUGUGUUUGUGUGCUAUGUGUUUCGUUUUAUUUGGUUACUACUUCUAUCGUACUUAUAUUUGGUUACGUCUUAUAUCGCUACUGACUGUCUUUUUUAAUUGUCAUACUUAUGGACCUGUUGGUGUUUUGUUUCUUGCAGAAAACCGUUUUUAAAUACAAUGAGUAUUGGAUCCUGAGGCUCCACCGGUAAAA